ensembl:lncRNA
AUGAAAGUAAAAGCCAGGUCUGAGGUGGUUUAUAUCCAGUGUAAUAUACCUCUGGAGACCUGGGUACUAGCACUGCUUCUGCUCCUCUCACCACUCUCGGCAACCACUGGCACCUACGGCCCCUGGCCCAGCAAGAGCCCGUGGACUCAGUGCACCUCUCUAGGGGUGGGAUCAAGCUCGGCUUCAGGGCAAGAGAAGAGUAACGGAAUAAAGAGGAAAAAAUCAUGAGCAAAAUCGCAUGAUUUUUUAAAAUAAGCACUGCUGGUCUGAACACACAAGGACUGAGUGCUACUGCAUUGGCUUGCUGUUCUGCAUCAAACAACAGGAAAAGUAACAGCAGGUUGGUUUUACAGAAGGUUGUUUGGUACAAAAUUUUAUAAUGUUGGCUUAAAUGUGUGUAUCUUCUGCUUUUUUUUUUUCUUUUUUCUUUUUUCCAGCUCCACUCUCCUCUGCUCACCAGUGUUGGCAGUAGCAAGUGCAGCUAUCAGCUUCUGACCACCAAGGUUGCUCUGUCUCCCUGAAAAUUCUCCUUAGCACUGCAAAAUCCUAUCUUUCUUCAUAUGGGAAAUAUUUAGCAGCUAAGAGGCUCAGCUUUUUCAAAACUACACUUCCACAAGUCUCAGCGGCAGCUUUGCCCCACUGUGGACAGCAGCAUUGACAGGAUGCAGGCAGCCGACAACUGCAUAAGCAACAAGCGCCAGCAGUGCUGCAAAACUUCUGUCAAGAAAUAACUGGAUGUAAAAGUAUUCUAAGAAUGUGGACCAACAGAUUCUGGCAUCUCAAAACCUGGGGGAUCUAGGAAGAAGCUAUGGGGGGAUGGCAGCAUUAAUAUUUUAUACCCUUUUCAAAAUAUGUUCGUAGCUUUCAGCCAUGCUGGCUGCUGUAGUGAGGUCAGCAGUUCCCUACUUCCUUCUCAUGUUCUGCCACCAUCCCACCCAGGGUAGCUUUAAAUCACAUGUAAUUUGCUUUUACCAGAUAUCUAAAAAUUUCAGCUUAUUACUGAUUACCAUUUUCUAUUUGGAUGGCAAGACUACCCUCAGUUACUGUUUCUAGGAGUCAUAAAAGGGCCAUUUGUCUGCCUUACAUCUGUUUCUUAGUGUUCUGUCUCCUUUCUGGUGACAGAAACACUAAAACCGAGUCCAAAUUCUGUGCUAUGCUGCUUCUGUAGAAGUAGAUUCACUAGCAGAGUAAAACCUUUGCAUUUGUCCUCCUACUGAAAAAAAAAAAGCAAAAAAAAAAAAGCUUGGAUUUCAGUUUGGCUGUUAACUCCUUUUUACAAAUCUAGCUGAUGAAAUAGUACUCAAGGCAAAUUAGUGAGAAAAGGCAAGAGUCUCAAGUGGUGCAAGCCAACAGAGCUCACUUUCACCAUUCAGACAACACUUGGACCACCUGAGAAUGUGGGAUAGCUACGUUAACAGCAAUUUUCUUUUAUUACAAGUCCUGCUGUGUUUAGUCACUGAAAAAAAAAAAAGACACACAAAAAUAUCAUACAGAGCUCUUUUUUUUGGUUUGAUUCCUUUCUUUCACACCUCUAGAACAGUACUAAUUCUGACAAGCCAGGAGGAUCUUGCUUAUUAGGGUCCUGUAUACACACUUUCAGAGAUCCUAACAUCAUACUGUUUGACCUACUGCCUCAAAUUCACCUCAGAGUGCCACAAAACCCAGUACCUGGUUAUUACUAAACACACACACUUCCUUUCUUGUCCCCCUGGCUUUCAGACUAUGGGUGUAGCAUGUGCAGUAUCCUUACUUCCCAGAGAUAUCUCAGAUUAUUGUCUCUUCCAGGAGGACAAACCUAAAAACCCUUACAGGUCACUAAAAUCACGAGCCACCAAAAUGAGCAAAUUUCAUUCAAUGUUGAAUUACUGUUUCACCAAGAUGAUUUCAUAGCCAUAUCUUUCUUUCAGAUCUUGAUUUUUAUCAUAACAAAUUUUUAAGAAAGACCCCACCACCACCCACUUUGGAAAAUCAGUCACAGAAAUGGCAAAGUUGAAUUCUAUUUACUGCUGCUUUGCCUACCUUAUCUCCUGAUAGAAACAUAGGCUUACAGUAAGUAUCCUCAUCCGGUACAUCAUUAGGAUGAACAGACAGUUACCUCAAUACAGGGAGAAGAUUCAGCAAAGAUUUUGAAGGAUUCCUAGCUACUGUGUAUCCCCUAGUUCUUUGACCUCUGAUAUUGCCUUUUAUUAUUAAAGCCUCCCCCAUCUCUCCUCACCCCUGCCACAUAUAUGUCCCCGAAAAUUGAUCUAAUCUUCUUCUUCUUCUUCUUCUUCUUAUUCUUUUCCUUCUUCUUCUUGUGUUUUCUUCCAGAUUUUACCACAGCAAUCUGGGCAACUGCCCAAAAUUUAUAAAUGAAAACCUCCUCAUGUAGCACAGCAUCAGCAUAACAUACCAGCAGCUAAAAUACCCUCUCUCUCUCUGUUCUGAAUCCAAACUUUGGCAUUGUCCUUGUCACAAAGCUGCUUCUUCCAAGCCAGUGCAGCAAAGGUGGUCACGUUUGUGUAGGAAGUCAGGGCCGCUCACACCAAUGAGCGCUCGCACGCCAGGCUUGGCCCCAGAAAGGGAACACACUCCCUUGGAAGAGGAACUGAAAGUAUGCCUGGGGAAGCCUGCUUUGCCUCUGACCAAACUAGCUGUCUAAGAAAAUGCCAGACCUUGCUGCACUGGGGUCAAAUGUAGAAUUAUGUGGCAGUUUGAUAAGCUACAGUACACUAAUUUAUUGGCUAUUUUAAAAAAUGUAGAGGAAAUUUUAUUACGGAUUACUUUGCUUUCCUGAAAACUUUUUAUAAUUAAAAACAUCUGGAAGACAUUUCAAUAUAUCAUAAACAAGAGGAAAUCCAAAGCACGUGACUUCUAAGAAAAUGAUGCAAAUACCUUUCUGUGCCAAAAUUUACAGUAAUCUGUUUUUCUUAUUUUGUUACAGGGGGAGGGAGAAUUGAUGGAGGAAGAGUCAACAAUGAGAAAACUACUAGUAUAAAAAAUAUACCACAUUAGGAACCACUGUUUCAUGAAAAAAUACUAUUUAAAAAAAUCUCUAAAAUAGAUGAAAGUCUCCCUCUCCCCGCUUAAUUAGUUUCCUGGGAAUAUAUCCUUCUGGAGUGGAUAAGUGAUGACAUCAAUCCUGCCAAUAGUAGGAUGCUAUCAGUAAGAAAGAAGGAAAAAGAACAAGAAUACAUUUUGGAUGACUGUAGGUAAAGGAAACUACUGGUUUAAUCUGCUGAGUACUCUGCUUCUUAAUUAAUAUCACUAAAUACCUGCAGCCUUCAUGACAGUUAUUUCAGAAAUAAAACAAAACACCAACACA